rnacentral:tRNA from 1 species
CAAACUAAAGCUUUAAUGAAGUAUUUUAUUUACAUUAAAAGGAUUAUUAUUUUUAUAUAGUUUGA